rnacentral:rRNA from 1 species
ACGGAAGGCAGCAGUGGGGAAUAUUGCACAAUGGGGGAAACCCUGAUGCAGCGACGCCGCGUGAGUGAAGAAGUAUUUCGGUAUGUAAAGCUCUAUCAGCAGGGAAGAAAAUGACGGUACCUGACUAAGAAGCCCCGGCUAACUACGUGCCAGCAGCCGCGGUAAUACGUAGGGGGCAAGCGUUAUCCGGAUUUACUGGGUGUAAAGGGAGCGUAGGUGGCGUGGCAAGUCAGAAGUGAAAGCCCGGGGCUCAACCCCGGGACUGCUUUUGAAACUGUCAUGCUGGAGUGCAGGAGAGGUAAGUGGAAUUCCUAGUGUAGCGGUGAAAUGCGUAGAUAUUAGGAGGAACACCAGUGGCGAAGGCGGCUUACUGGACUGUAACUGACACUGAGGCUCGAAAGCGUGGGGAGCAAACAGGAUUAGAUACCCUGGUA